GAAGCUAUUAUUGUCCGGAUGUCUAUGUAUAUGAGAUUGGGUACAUUGGAAUAUUAUGUAUAUGGGAUAUGGGUAUGGUAUAUGAGUUGGGAUGUGGAAUAUACCAUAUUGGAGUGCUAUUAGCACCACCCUAUGUACUUCCCCAGCAUUUGGAUACUUGGAUAUGUCGAAACUUGGGCACCCUUGGUGAGGUGUUUCGUAGGCCCUUGGCUGGGCAGUCUGUGCCCGUAUGACUUAAUUUAGCUGCACGAGUAUUGAGGAUUUUGCUGUGCGUGUCUGAGAGCUGAGUCCCUCGGUUGGACGACUCGUUCCCUAGCCACAUGGUUAUUGAGGAUUCUUCCAUGUGGUCUAGUCAAGUUAAGUUUGG
rnacentral:lncRNA from 1 species